ensembl:lncRNA
AGUUCUGGGCGGGUGUCCCAGCCCCGGGCCUGUCCGGCGGGCAGACCGCGGGACGCCGCGCUAGAUGCCCGCGGGGAGCGCGGAGAGCUGGAGGGAGGCCCAAAGCCAACCCGUCUGCAACGAAGUCGCGCGUCUGGAACGAAGGCAGCUCAUUUGGUUUCUCCAGACCUUUCCAGACCCUCGCACGGAACCUAGGGCGUGUCGCCCAAGUCUCCAUCGCCCAGCCCCAGACGGAAGCCACUGGUAGGACGUGGUUGGAGUGGGAGCAGCACCUAGCGAGCACUGACGAAGUGGCUGCUUUGGCCCCGCUCCCUUACCCUUGUGUUAUACAUGAAGAAGCUCAGCCCUAGAAGGGACUUGACUGGACCAAGACGACAUACUGGAGCUGGACAAAAGCCUGGUUCUAUGGCCCCUCAUACAGGAUGUUGUCCACCCAAGCUGCCUGUCAAGGUUCACUCCUUGUGAGCACCCAGCACGGCACCUGGCACACAGGCUAAAUGGUGGCACGUGGAAUAAAUGGAUGAGGUUUAAUGCUGAUUGGACCAUUAGCAUCUCCAGAGCUACAUGCCUCUCCCCUCGGUGGCUGUGGGUGUGGAGACUCAGCAAAGCCUGAAGAAUGAAAACAGUGGGCACUCAGAAAAGAGGAUGGCCAGGGAGGUACAGCCAAGAGAGGGGUUAAGCUGGCGGCUGUGGAUCGGACACUCCCAUUCCCAUAGCAGGGCCUAAUUCCCACCAGGUCUCAGUCCCAGAGGGUCCAUGAGCAGAGUGGGUCUCCGUGAUGGUGUUUGCAAUAUGGGGAUGUGAGCAUGUGACUAGUGUGUAACUGAGACUGCAUGUGUGUGACUCUUUGUGGCUUGGGCGUGGCUCGGCGCAUUGUAUGCUGUGUGGCUGUGGGCUGCAUGUGACCAUGGUGUGGCUGUGUGUUUGCGUGACUGUGGGUAGAAAUGGGCAUUGCCUGUGUGAUGCUGUGUAUGCCUCUCGGAGGCUGGCUCUAGAGUGCUGGGUGUCAGUGUGUGCACAUGGCUGUCUGUGCAGCUGUGUGUGCGCCUCUGGGAGGAGACGGCUGUCAUGGGUGUACAUGACCGUGUAGGAUCUGUGAUGUUAUUCGAGUGUGCCUUCUAGUCUGGCUGUGUGAUGGUGAGUGUUUACGCCUGGUGGGUUGCAUGCCCUCAGUGUGUCACUGUGUGUCCCUCGGGGACUCAGCGUGUCACUAUGUGUGACUGUGUGAGACAGCAUGCCCCUCAAACCACCUUCCUUGAGCAGCUUUGAUGUGGUUGUUUCUAGGGGCCGUAGGACGCCAGUCACACUCCUGAGGACUUCAAAAGAUGGCUGUCCUUUCUGUCAGCUGGCGAAAAACUCAUUUCCCCUCACCCUCACCCUCUCCUCUGCCUGUCUUAGAGGCCUGUUUGUUUUCUUAUUUGUACUGCCUAGGGUGAGUUCAUGGCCACAACUGACUCACCACUCUUUCCAAGAGACUUGGGGAAGGAAAUAGGGGUUGCUUGGCUGGGGCCUCUGCCCACUAGCCCGGGGACUUUCAGAGCAGGGCCAGGGGGAACAUCGGGGUCUAUUCUGGGCUGUGUGAGCACCUCAAGCCAUUCACCCUCCCCAAACCUGCAAGGCCGAGGAGUCUUCUUUCACGGUAAUUGUCUAGUGGCCAGUCUCCUACCUCAAAUAAGAGGCCUCUCUCCUCAUCUAAAAGUUCUCCCUUCCCUUUGCCAAGGUCGAUUAAAAAGAAAGUUGGAGCUUUGGAGGGGCCCUUGGCAUCUCCCUGGGAAUCGGAGUCACCGCAG